CCUGGUUGAUCCUGCCAGUAGUCAUAUGCUUGUCUCAAAGAUUAAGCCAUGCAUGUCUAAGUACACACUUUGGUAAAGUGAAACCGCGAAUGGCUCAUUAAAUCAGCUACAAUUUAUUAGAUCGUACACUGUUACUUGGAUAACUGUGGGAAUUCUAGAGCUAAUACAUGCCGAGAGUCUCUGCUCUUCGGGGCAGAGCGCAGUUAUUAGACCAAAACCAGCCGUAUUCUUCGGGGUACGCUCUUUUGGUGACUCUGGAUAACCUUCAGCCGAUCGCAUGGCCUCGUGCCGGCGACGUAUCUUUCAAGUGUCUGCCCUAUCAACUUUCGAUGGUACGUGAUAUGCCUACCAUGGUGAUAACGGGUAACGGGGAAUCAGGGUUCGAUUCCGGAGAGGGAGCCUGAGAAAUGGCUACCACAUCCAAGGAUGGCAGCAGGCGCGCAAAUUACCCACUCCCAGCUUGGGGAGGUAGUGACGAAAAAUAACAAUGCGGGACUCUAAGAGGCCCCGUAAUUGGAAUGAGUACACCUUAAAUCGUUUAACGAGUAUCAAUUGGAGGGCAAGUCUGGUGCCAGCAGCCGCGGUAAUUCCAGCUCCAAUAGCGUAUAUUAAAGUUGCUGCAGUUAAAAAGCUCGUAGUUGGAUCUGGGGCUUGAGGUCGCUGUCUAUCGUUUCGGCGAUGACGGUGAUGCUCAGCUCUGCUUGCCGGUGACUGUUGCGGUGUUCUUCACUGAGCGCUGUAGCAGCACGGCACGUUUACUUUGAAAAAAUUAGAGUGCUCAAAGCGUGCUUGUCGCUUGAAUAAUGUUGCAUGGAAUAAUGGAAUAGGACCUCGGUUCUAUUUUGUUGGUUUUCGGAGCUUGAGGUAAUGAUUAAGAGGGACGAACGGGGGCAUUCGUGUUGCGGUGUUAGAGGUGAAAUUCUUGGAUCGCCGCAAGACGGACUACUGCGAAAGCAUUUGCCAAGAACGCUUUCAUUAAUUAAGAACGAAAGUCAGAGGUUCGAAGACGAUCAGACACCGUCCUAGUUCUGACCAUAAACGAUGCCGACCAGCGAUCCGUAGUGGUUGCUUUAUGGACCCUACGGGCAGCCUCCGGGAAACCAAAGUAUUUGGGUUCCGGGGGAAGUAUGGUUGCAAAGCUGAAACUUAAAGGAAUUGACGGAAGGGCACACCAGGAGUGGAGCCUGCGGCUUAAUUUGACUCAACACGGGAAAACUCACCCGGUCCGGACACCGUAAGGAUUGACAGACUGAUAGCUCUUUCUUGAAUCGGUGGAUGGUGGUGCAUGGCCGUUCUUAGUUGGUGGAGUGAUUUGUCUGGUUAAUUCCGAUAACGAACGAGACUCUAGCCUGCUAAGUAGUGUUGCUAUUGU
rnacentral:rRNA from 1 species